rnacentral:rRNA from 1 species
GUCACUGCUAUCAGUGUUCGACUAAGCCAUGCAAGUCAAAUGUUCUUCGUGAACAUGGCGGACUGCACAGUAACACGUGGAUAACCUGCCCUUAGGAUUGGCAUAACACCGGGAAACUGGUGAUAAUACCGAAUAGACCAUUUAUGCUGGAAUGCUUUUUUGUUCAAAGGCUUCGGCUGCCUAAGGAUGGAUCUGCGGCCUAUCAGGUAGUAGUGGGUGUAAUGUACCUACUAGCCUACGACGGGUACGGGUUGUGAGAGCAAGAGCCCGGAGAUGGAUUCUGAGACAUGAAUCCAGGCCCUACGGGGCGCAGCAGGCGCGAAAACUUUACAAUGCGGGAAACCGCGAUAAGGGGACACUGAGUGCCAGCAUAUUAUGUUGGCUGUCCACAUGUAUAAAAACCAUGUGUUAGCAAGGGCCGGGCAAGACCGGUGCCAGCCGCCGCGGUAACACCGGCGGCCCGAGUGGUGAUCACUUUUAUUGGGUCUAAAGGGUCCGUAGCCGGUUUGAUCAGUCUUCUGGGAAAUCUGACAGCUCAACUGUUAGGCUUUCAGGGGAUACUGUUAGACUUGGGACCGGGAGAGGUAAGAGGUACUACAGGGGUAGGAGUGAAAUCUUGUAAUCCCUGUGGGACCACCAGUGGCGAAGGCGUCUUACCAGAACGGGUCCGACGGUGAGGGACGAAAGCUGGGGGCACGAACCGGAUUAGAUACCCGGGUAGUCCCAGCCGUAAACGAUGUUCGCUAGGUGUCAGGGACGGUGCGACCGUUUCUGGUGCCGUAGGGAAGCCGUGAAGCGAACCACCUGGGAAGUACGGCCGCAAGGCUGAAACUUAAAGGAAUUGGCGGGGGAGCACUACAACGGGUGGAGCCUGCGGUUUAAUUGGAUUCA